rnacentral:rRNA from 1 species
AUUGAACGCUGGCGGCAUGCUUUACACAUGCAAGUCGAACGGCAGCGCGGGCUUCGGCCUGGCGGCGAGUGGCGAACGGGUGAGUAAUGCAUCGGAACGUGCCCAGUAGUGGGGGAUAGCCCGGCGAAAGCCGGAUUAAUACCGCAUACGACCUGAGGGUGAAAGCGGGGGACCGAAAGGCCUCGCGCUAUUGGAGCGGCCGAUGUCGGAUUAGCUAGUUGGUGGGGUAAAGGCUUACCAAGGCGACGAUCCGUAGCUGGUCUGAGAGGACGACCAGCCACACUGGGACUGAGACACGGCCCAGACUCCUACGGGAGGCAGCAGUGGGGAAUUUUGGACAAUGGGGGCAACCCUGAUCCAGCCAUGCCGCGUGCGGGAAGAAGGCCUUCGGGUUGUAAACCGCUUUUGUUCGGGAAGAAAUCCUCUGGGCUAAUACCCCGGGGGGAUGACGGUACCGGAAGUAUAAGCACCGGCUAACUACGUG